rnacentral:tRNA from 1 species
GGAGGGGUGCCGGAGCGGCCUAUCGGAACCGCCUUGAAAGCGGUCGUAGCGAGAGCUACCGCGGGUUCAAAUCCCGCCUCCUCCG